GGAUGAAGAGGUGUCAGUCAGCAGGUUCCGACAAAAAAUACUUUGUGUCUCGGGAGCUGCUCUGGUUUACACCAACUUUCUUAAAAUCAUCUGUGAUUUAUGCUGGAACUAAAAAUGUCUCUUAUCUUCCAGUUCCUAUGCUUUCAGAUCCUUACAGACAGACAUUCAGAUAUAAUUCCAGGAUCUUUUCCACCAUUGGAAUUAUCACAUUUGAUUUCUUAAUGUGUCUCCUACAAUGCUACCGACAGAAACUGGUGAAGGACUCUACUGAAUCAAAAAAAGACUACAAUUUGCUGAACUUGAUGAUCUGAGGCCAUGAAAUACUACAGCUCUUUGUCAGCAAGUUAUAAGUGAAUUUUCAGCACUUGAUGACAGAUCAUCAACUGGCAGAGAACCACCC
ensembl:lncRNA